AAAUGCGAUAAGUAGUGUGAAUUGCAGAAUUCAGUGAAUCAUCGAAUCUUUGAACGCACAUUGCGCCCCUUGGUAUUCCAUGGGGCAUGCCUGUUCGAGCGUCAUUUGUUCCCUCAAGCUCUGCUUGGUGUUGGGUGUUUGUCGGGUCCUCUGCGAUCUCGACUCGCCUUAAAUGUAUUGGCAGCCGGCGUAUUGGCAUAUGAGCGCAGCACAUUUUGCGAUCGUAGCCGCUAUGCUGGCGUCCAGCAAGCCUAAAACUAUCACCUUUGACCUCGGAUCAGGUAGGGAUACCCGCUGAACUUAAGC
rnacentral:misc_RNA from 1 species